AUUAACAAUAAGCGCUCAAAUGAAUUGUCACGAAAAGGUGUGAGCUAAUUAUGCAUUAACACACUUGCAUACGUAGCAUAGUAUGGACAAAAUGUGUAUUUAGGGGUGAUAGGCUUUUCAACCAUCUUAAUAACUUGUUUCAUAUGAAAAGUAUUAAGUACCUAAACAAAUUUACAAAGUUAAGCUUUUAAAUGGUUAUUAAAAAUAUUAAUUCUUUGUAGUGAAGUGUAAAAGCUUACUACAUGACAACUUAGUAUUAAGCAUGAUAAUUUAUAUUUAAAACUAUGACAAUAAAAAUUUUGAACCUAGUUGAUAAUGUUAAUAUUAGUAGUAUUUAUAUAUGUGUUAAAGGAACUCGGCAAUAGGACCACUCAACUGUUUAUCAAAAACAUAGCUAUGUGUAUUAAUACAUAGUAAUUUCUGCUCAAUGCUUAGUAAAUAGCCGCAGUACUCUGACUGUGCAAAGGUAGCAUAAUCAGUUGGCUUUUAAUUGGAGUCUGGUAUGAAUGAAAAUAUGGGUAGUAACUGUCUUAGCACACUUAUUUGAAAUUACUUAACAAGUGCAAAUGCUUGUGGACAAAUAAUAGACGAGAAGACCCUAGAAACUUGAAUAAGUUUUUGUUGGGGCGACAAAAUUACAAAUUAACUAAUUUUAUAAUACAUGCCGUAAAGUCGAAAGAAUAAGUUACUCUAGGGAUAACAGCAUAAUUUUAUUAGUUUGUGACCUCGAUGUUGGACUAGGUACUGCACCCUUAAGACAAGGGUGUAUCACGCUCUGUUCGAGCAGAUUUACCUACAUGAUCUGAGUUCAGACCGG
rnacentral:rRNA from 1 species